CUCACAGCCCACCUACCAGUAGCUCACAGCCCACCUACCAGUAGCUCACAGCCCACCUACCAGUAGCUCACAGUCCACCUACCUUCAUGAACCAACAUCCAUGAGGAACGUUUUUGACUUGAAGAAUCCAUGCCCCAAAGAUAUCAGGCUGUUCUGGAGACAAAGGGGUGUCCGAUCCGGUGCUAGAUGGGUGUACCUAAUAAACUGUCUGGUGAAUGUAUAAUCAGGGCCAUGAGUUAUACCUGUACAGGAACAACUCCUGAUUCAGGCUAUUUAGUGUAGCUAGCUCUUCAAAGCGGUACAAAACACGUUUAAGUUGUGUUUUGUUCAUGUUCAAACAAGGAAGACCAAGUCAUGUUUUUUAAAAGGGGUAAUCUGCAGUUCGGACAAUAACAAAGCCGCCACUGAUUUGGUAAACAACUGAGGAAUGGGGAUGGAGAAAUUGAACCACUCUCAAAUUGCUAGAUCAACUAUGGAUACAAGGACUGACCACUCAUGAUAUAACAAUUAUAGUUUUAACCAUGUUUUGAGGCAAUAAAGAGUUUUUUUACUUGUGCUUUGUUAACAAACAUUUUAGUAGUGUAGUCUGGAAACUCCACUUUAGUCUGGGGUUCUUUCCUGUCUAAGAAAAAAAACCUUGGUGAAAGUGAAAUGACUGUGGCUUUGUCCUCCCUCAGCUCCCAUAUUAGGACUGUCGGGGAUCUGUCCGAGAGAGAGAAGAGAAAGAGAAAGAGAGAGAGAUGGAGAGACAGACAGAGAGAGAGAGAGAGAGAGAGAGAGAGAGAGAGAGAGAGAGAGAGAGAGAGAGAGAGAGAGAGAGAGGGUGUUGCAUUCUUCAAGUAGGUUAGUGGUUGUGAAAGGGGGUAUCCACCGUCUCCACCCAAUCUCUUCUCCCCCAGUUAUUUUCUGGGACACUGCACAAUACAACUUUAUUUGAUGGCAGAACAUUCAGAGGCUGUGAGCUUGACACAUGGCAAAAUGCUUCUGCUGUUUCUGAGUCUCGGUUUGCUCACUUCUAAUGUCCAGUCAGAAAAACAAGGGGUUAAUGUAACGUGUGAAAAUCAAUCGGUUGUAGCAGGACAGAACCACAACCUGACAUGUAGAGUGGAAUACAGUGAUGUAGGUCAGAAUAAUCUGGGAUGUAAAACUACAAAUUAUUUCUGGAAACAUAAAUCAAAAUCUCCAAUACGAAAUUGUGAUUGUACAAAGGAUUGUAACACUACGAUAACAACCAACACCUACUUUUGUGAGAUCAAAUAUGUUACCAAAGCUGAUGAGGGAAACUACACUUUUACCAUUAACACAGACUGUGGCAACGGACAUGGCACAUUGAAUGUUUCCGUUACAUUGAGACAUAAGAAACCAGAGCUGUUCAAAGGGGGAUCGUCAGGUCACAUAUCGUCAUUAUCAUCACUGUUCUGGGUGUUCUACUGUUUCUCAUCACUUCUGGUUAUGGCAGAAGAUUGAUGGGUCGACUUAAGUUCCUUGAGAAAAAUGACAACACUGACCAGAGCCCUGAAGCUACCAGAAAGGCUCUAAACCUGGAGCCUGGAUAACAUUCAGUUCAUGGAGGAGCCGUGUGUGUGUGUGUGUGUGUGUGUGUGUGUGUUAAUUAUUCUAUCCUUGUGGAGACAUCCCACAUCCUCAUGAAGAGACAGGCUAUUUUAAGCUUAGGUUUAGGGUUACAAUUAGGGUUAGGAGUUAGGUUUGGGUUAGUGUCAGGGGUUAAAAUUAGGGUUAUGGUAAGGGUUAGGAGUUAGGUUUGGGUUAGUGUCAGGGGUUAAAGUUAGGGUAAGGGUUAGGAGUUAGGUUUGGGUUAGUGUUAGGGGUUAAAGUUAGGGUUAUGGUAAGGGUUAGGAGUUAGGUUUGGGUUAGUGUCAGGGGUUAAAGUUAGGGUAAGGGUUAGGAGUUAGGUUUGGGUUAGUGUUAGGGGUUAAAGUUAGGGUUAUGGUAAGGGUUAGGAGUUAGGUUUGGGUUAGUGUUAGGGGUAAAGUUAGGGUAAGGCUUAGGAGUUAGGUUUGGGUUAGUGUUAGGGGUUAAAGUUAGGGUUAGGAGUUAGGUUUGGGUUGGUGUUAGGGGUAAAGUUAGGGUUAGGCUUAGGAGUUAGGUUUGGGUUAGUGUUAGGGGUUAAAGUUAGGGUUAUGGUAAGGGUUAGGAGUUAGGUUUGGAUUAGUGUUAGGGGUUAAAGUUAGGGUUAUGGUAAGGGUUAGGAGUUAGGUUUGGGUUAGUGUUAGGGGUUCAAGUUAUGGUAAGGGUUAGGAGUUAGGUUUGGGUUAGUGUUAGGGGUUCAAGUUAUGGUAAGGGUUAGGAGUUAGGUUUGGGUUAGUGUUAGGGGUUAAAGUUAUGGUAAGGGUUAGGAGUUAGGGUUGGGUUAGUGUUAUGGGUUAAAGUUAGGGUUAUGGAAAAUAUGACUUUGAAUGUAAAUAAAUGUUAGUUCCCCACAAGGAUAAAAUAAUUUGUGUGUGGCUUGUUAGUAGUGGUUCAAAAAAAAUAUGUUUUACUCUGUACAGGCUUCCAUCUUUUCACUCUGUCAAUUAUUAUUAUUUAUAUAGCUUUAUUUAACUAGGCAGGUCAGUUAAGAGCUAAUUUUGAUUUACAAUGACAAUCUACCGGGGAACACUGGGUUAACUGCCUUGUUCAGGUGCAGAAUGACAGAUGUUUACUUUGUCAGCUCAGGGAUUCAAUCCAGGAACCUAUUGGUUAAUGGCACAACACUCUAACCACUAGGCAACCUGCCGCCCCAUCAAACUAGUCAAGGUUAGUAUUGUGGAGUAACUACAAUGUUGUUGAUCCAUCCUCAGUGUUCUCCUAUCACAGCCAUUAAACUCUGUAACUGUUUUAAAGUCACCAUUGGCCUCAUUGUGAAAUCCAUGAGCGGCUUCCUUCCUGUCUGACAACUGAGUUAGGAAGGACACCUGUAUCUUUGUAGUGACAGGAUGUAUUGAUACACCACCCGAAGUUAAGUUAGUAACUCCACCAAGCUCAAAGGAAUAUUCAAUGUCUGCUUUUAGUUUUACCCAUCUACCAAUAGGUUCCCUUUACAAGGCAUUUGGAAAACCUCCCUGGUCUUUGUCCUUGGAUCUGUGUUUGAAAUUCCCUGCUCGUCCGAGAGACCUUACAGAUGAUUGUAUGUGUGGGGUACAGAGAUCAUGUUAAAACACUAUUAUUGCACACAGAGUGAGUCCAUGCAAUGUAUUAUGUGAUUUGUUAAGCAAAUGUUUACUCAUGAACUUAUUUAGACUUGUCAUAACAAAGGGGUUGAACACUUUUUUACUCAAGACAUUUAAGAUGUUUAUUUUUUACAUUAUUUGUAAAACCUUUGAAAAACUUAAUUCCACUUUGUCAUUAAGGGCUAUUGUGUGUGGACCAGUGAUCCAAACAUCUCAGUUGAAUCUAUUUUUCAAUAAAUAAAUCAACAACAUUAUGCAUGCUCUACUGCAUGUUGAUGUUUGUGAAUUGUUUCUAAAAAUCUGUGUUUUUGCCAGAACAUCAAGUGAUUUAUUGAUUAAUCUUAUGCUGCACAAAGAUCAAUAAAAAAUGCCUAAACUAA